rnacentral:lncRNA from 1 species
CACCAUUCAACUGUGGUGUCCUAGGAGGUGUCAAUUGUGAGACAAUCCCACAUUCCUUAAGAUAGUCAAGGAACUCAGUACUAAGAUACUCACCACCACGAUCGGAUUGAAGCAUCUUAAUGUUCCUGCCCAACUGAUUCUCCACUUCUUGCUUAAACUCUUUGAAUUUCUCAAAGGUUUCUGACUUAUGCUUGAUUAAGUAGACAUAUCCAUAUCUACUAAAAUCAUCAGUGAAAGUCACAUAGAACCGAUUAGCAUCUCUUGUGGCGGUUCUGAAGGGUCCACACACAUCCGUGUGUAUGAGGUCCAACAAACCUUCACCCCUAGCACAAGUGCCAGUAAAAGGUGACUUUGUCAUUUUACCAAGCAAACAAGAUUCACAACUAUCAUCUGACUCUAGGUCAAAUGACUCCAAGACUCCAUCCUUUUGGAGUUGGCCUAUGUGUUUCUUGCUUACAUGUCAAAGACGACAAUGCCAUAAAGAUUCUUUAUCUAAGCUAGUGGAAGAGUCAAUACAAAAUACAUUAUUUCCUAGAUUACCUGCAACAGAUACAGUUUCAUACACGCCAUCACAAGGUAAUGGUUUAAAAUAAAGAACAUUAUUAAAGAAAGCAUCAAUACUACCAUUAUUAUUAUCAAAAUAAAAGGUAAAACCUUGUUUAUACAAUGCAUGAAAGGAAAUAACAUGUCUUGCAUUUCUAGCGAAUAAUAACAUUUAGUCAAAUCUAAUGUAAACCCACUAUUUAGCACUAAGGAAUAAACUCUUAUCUUGGUGACAGGUGAAGCUUUCCUGUUUCCCAUGAUCAAGUUUAUCUUUCCCUCCUCCAUAUUCUCACUUCUUCUUAGUCCCUGCAAGUCACACCAUAUGUGAAUACCAUAACAUGUAUCAAGGACCCAAGACUUAAAAUGAGGUGAGUUAUUAGACAAUAUAGCUUAUAUACCUGCAAUGUUGGGUUUUACUUUCCCAUCCUUCAAAUCUUGCUGGUACUUUGGGCAGUUUCACUUCCAGUGUGACUUUUCAUGGCAAUAGAAGCAUUCAGCCUCAUUAGGGUUAGCAGAAGGAGUCACAAAACCUUUCUUGGUUUUGCUUCAAGAGGAGCUUCAAGGGCCUUACCCUUGGUACCCUUAGAGGCGUUCUUUCUCUUCUUCCCUUUGCCAUGCCCGAUUUCCAAGAGAUUGGCCGCAGUUGGAGUAGGAGUAGGAGUAGUAACAACCUACUUACCCUUUAGACCACUUUCGGCGGUCUUCAAGAGUCCUUGAAGUUUGCUGACAGUGACUUUUUCCUUGUUCAUGUGAUAUGUCAUGCGGAAUUGAUCAUAACACGAUGGCAAGGAGUGCAAAAUGAUGCCUAUUGCUAACUCCUCAGGGAAGUUCACAUUCAGCUUCAGUAGACGGUCCACAUACCUUUUCAUUUUCUGCAUGUGGCCCAUGAUGGGUUCACCAUCCUUCAUUCGGAUUGUUAUCAUGGAGGAGAUUAUUUCAUAUCGCUCUUGAUGAGCACUCUGAUGGUAGCGGUCCAUCAAGUCCUGGUGCAUCUCAAAAGGGUAAUAGUCCCCAUAGGACUUUUGGAGCUCGGCUGUCAUGGUGGACAUCAUGAAGCAUGCUAUUUUUGUAGCAUCUCUUUCAUGUACCUCAUAUUCAGCAAGCUCUUCAGGUGUAGCAGUUGGCUCGGCUACCUUUAGCUCCUUGUCGAGAACAUAUUCUUUGUUCUCAUACCGAGUGACCAUCCUGAUGUUUCUGAUCCAAUCAGUACAGUUGGAUCCAUCAAAGAUGACUCUCCCACAAAGAUUCAUGAGAGAGAAGGAGCUAGUAGGGUUUGAGCCAGAAGCAUUGUUAUUGGAAGACAUCUAAAAAGAAGAGAGAAUAGAUUAGAUUAUAUUUAGAGAUAGUCCUUAAUAAAACACCCAAAUGUAGUAUUAAGGCUAGGACCCAACACAAUAUUUUAUAAUUUAGAAGAUGGAUGCCGUAAUCUAAGCUAUAAUAUAUUUGAAGGUAGGUGAAUGACGAUUCACCAAUUUCCACCAUGAAAAACAAAAUAUUUAAUUAGGUUUUAAUUGGUUUAGAAACUCCUAGAUUCUUUGAGAUUCAUUGAACUUUCUUCAAUGGCAUGUUUCAAUCUCGAGUGUGCCCUUCAAGUUUUGUGACUGGGAUGUCGAGGAUCACAAAACAAGGUGUGAAGUAACCAUGCAAAUUACUUGGUACCCUUAAUNNNNNNNNNNNNNNNNNNNNNNNNNNNNNNNNNNNNNNNNNNNNNNNNNNNNNNNNNNNNNNNNNNNNNNNNNNNNNNNNNNNNNNNNNNNNNNNNNNNNNNNNNNNNNNNNNNNNNNNNNNNNNNNNNNNNNNNNNNNNNNNNNNNNNNNNNNNNNNNNNNNNNNNNNNNNNNNNNNNNNNNNNNNNNNNNNNNNNNNNNNNNNNNNNNNNNNNNNNNNNNNNNNNNNNNNNNNNNNNNNNNNNNNNNNNNNNNNNNNNNNNNNNNNNNNNNNNNNNNNNNNNNNNNNNNNNNNNNNNNNNNNNNNNNNNNNNNNNNNNNNNNNNNNNNNNNNNNNNNNNNNNNNNNNNNNNNNNNNNNNNNNNNNNNNNNNNNNNNNNNNNNNNNNNNNNNNNNNNNNNNNNNNNNACACAUAUAUAUAUAUAUAUAUAUAUAUAUAUAUAUCUAUAUAUAUAUAUUAGCUUAUUAUAUUAUAAAGUAUAAGGGUUGAAUUUUAACUUUUAAAAUUCUAAGGGUUGGAACUAAAGUUUUAAUCAUGACUUUACUUGUUCCAAAACUUGAGGGAAAUUUUUGUAAACUUUCAAAACCUUUCAUUUCUUAUAACUUAUGAAUUUAAUUGAGUAUUAAAAUGAAGACUCUUCAUUUUUUUAACUCUUGUGUUCUUUUAAUGAAUUUUAUUAAAGUGUGACCUUUGGUUUUUCAUAACUUGAGGACAAGUUAUGGACUCCAUUAAAACACAUUAUGAUGAAGAAUUAAACUACCAAGUAGGUUACAAACAUUUCCUAUGAUCAUCUAAUCUUCAUAAGUUCAAGAACAUGAAUAUGGUCAUCAACGUUUCAAGGAUUGUAUGAACGCAUACAAGGCAUGAAAUUUUGAUAUAAGCUAUUCUAAAUGGGUUAGAACAGCCAUUACACCAACUAAAACAAGUUUUAAAAUACCAAAAUAGUUUAGGGUAAUGUUUUUAGUCCAUUUCCAGCAGCAAAAGUUGAAAAUCUGCAUUCUGAGGCUUCUACUCGUCGAGUGCACGAACCUACUCGUCGACUAGGAUGAAUUUGGUCAUGGACUCGGCGAGUCCCCCCAUGGACUCGGCAAGUUCAUCAUGCAGACAGCAAGAAAAUCGACUUUUUCACUAUUUUGCAUCAAGUAUCAAACAAACAAACCUAGGCUCUGAUACCACUGAUGGGUUUUGAGCAUUCUAACACUCCUAUGGUGUACAUGCAACCCUAGAAACCUUGGAUCUAUGUUUGACUAACAUACAUGCAAAUAAUUAUUUUUCCAAGGUUCUUAUCCUUUCUAGCAUGGCAUGGGGAACUUGAAUCAAAUAAAGCUAGUAGAAUUACUUACCUUGUAGUUGUAGUUGAUUGCUUGGAGUUUUAGAGCCUAGAACCGAUAGUGUGGAUGCCUCAAAUGGAAAUCACAAAUCACCACAAACUUUGGAACCUUGAGAGAAUAGUCACAACUAUCUUGAAAUCGGCCCUCUUACUUUACUCGCCACAACUAGUGUGAUUUCAAGAACAAAAGCCUCCUUUACAUAGUGUGGUGGAUUAGGGUUACAUCCAUGUAAACCCUAAUACCCAUGUCUUUUCAUUUCCAUGAGAUCCAUGGGUUAAAGCUCCAUGGAGUAUCCAUGGACUUUCCAAGCAAGCCUAGCCCAUUCCAAAUAAGCAUUAGCUCACACUAUAUAAAUAUAAGAGCCCAUAUUUAAUUAGUAAUACUUUUGAUCUCUAAAUUAAUUCUAGAUUAAUUAUAGAUCAAUACUAAUUAAAUAAUAUGAUUUUAUAUUAAUAUAUUAGAACUUAUAAUAUAUUAAUAAAUCAUAACUUAUACUAUUCUCAAAAGAUUAUCCAUAAAUUGUUCGGGUGAAGUGCAACCCAAAUGGACCAUGUCGGGUCAGGUCAAGUACAUAUCAAAUAUAGUUAUGGACUUAGACACUAUAUCCAACAAGUUGCGAGGGAAUGUCGUCAGACCUUGGUUCGUCGACAGCGGCUGCUCUCGGCAUAUGACAUGAGAUAUCACCCAACUACAUAACAUUCAAUCUUUUAAUGGGGGAUAUAUUUCCUUUACGGGUGGAGAAGGUGGCAAGAUCACUCAAAGAGGAACCAUCACAAAUGGGGUGUUAAGUUUCGAGAAUGUCAACUUUGCUCCCGAAUUGAAGCAUAGUUUGUUGAGUGUGUCUCAGAUAUGCGACGAAGGCUAUUCUACACAUUUCACUGAUAAGGAAUGCAUGAUUCUCAAGCCAGGCUUUGUCAUCCUAGAAGAAUGGAUUUUUGUAAAAUCUAAAGGGAUGGGAAUGCUUACAUCAUUGAUAUGAAUAGCAAUCAUACAAAACAAGUUGUGUGCCUCUUUUCAAAGAUCUCAGAACAAAAUGCAAUGUUAUGGCACCGAAGACUCGGUCAUGCUAACACCAAGAACUUGAAUCGUCUUGCAAAGAAUGAGAUCGUCUGUGGUUUGCCUGUCAAAGAUUUUAUAACUUUUGAAAAGUGUGUGUCAUGUGCCCAAGGUAAGCAUCACAGAAAACCACACCUGCCAAAACAGGUUAACUCAAUCAGUCAGGUGCUUCAAUUGCUACAUAUGGAUCUGUUUGGACUAGUCAAUGUUCUCAGUAUUAACAGAAAUUCAUAUUGUCUGGUUGUGAUUGAUGAUUUCUCUUGUUUUACGUGGGUUUUCUUUCUAUCCAACAAAUUUGGAGUUACUGAUCUAACUAAGAAAUUCAUUGUGUUGAUUGAGAACCAAACUAACAACCGGGUGAAGGCGCUUCGUAUCGACAAUGGAACAGAGUUCAAGAAUUCUGCUCUCGAUCAUUUUUGCAUAGAAAAGGGUAUUAUGCGUCAAUACAGCUCCGCUCACACACCUCAACAAAAUGGUAUUGCUGAGAGGAGAAACAGAACUUUAAAAUACGCUGCAAGGACGAUGUUGUGUGACUCCAAACUACCAGUUUUCUUUUGGGCCGAGGCGAUAAACACUGCUUGCUACGUUCAGAAACGCGUGUUGAUCAACAAAGCUCAUAUGAAGACCCCGUAUGAGAUUCUGAGAGUCUAUAUGGUCACAAGCCUUCAUUCACUCAUUUUUGUGUAGUUGGCUGCCCUUGCACCCUUCUUCACCUAGAGACCAACCCAAAGUUUAAUGCCAAAGCCGAUGAUUGUUACUUCGUAGGGUAUGCUGCUCACACCGCGUAUAGGGUCUACAAUAAGAAGACAAAGCAGGUUGUAGAAUCUUAUGACGUGCGCUGCUUGGAAGAAAAUGAGACGGAUGCUCGAGUGGGUCCGGAUUGGUUGUUUGAUAACACAUCUCUUUUCAGAUCCAUAAAUGUGUUUUCGGGUAGCUCAUCUGGAUUUGUGUCUAGUUCGAAGAAUGUUUCUAAAGACGAAGACAAAGAAGUUUUCUACAAACCUCCAACGGUAUCCUCUUCACAACCUGAGGGGGGAGUCCUCUGCUUCGCCUGAGGGGGAGUCAUCUGUACAUCCUGGUAGUCCAAAAUCUCCAGUUCAGAAUGAUACUCCUGAUGUUGAAACUACACCACUCACUCCUAUAGAAAGAGAGUUUAUGUCUAAAGAUGUUUCCGCUGUUACUUCAACCUUUAUGGAACUACUCUUUCCUGAAAACAUUUCAAAUGAGUUUGUAGCAGAGUUAUCUAAGGAGGCGUCAAUUGCAAAACUAUUCCACACUCCUUGAGAUAAUCAUGGAAUUCAAGACUUAGGUACUCUCCUCCUCGAUCGGAUCGAAGCAUCUUGAUUUUCCUGCCCAAUUGAUUCUCCACUUCAUUCUUGAACUCUUUGAACUUUUCAAAAGUUUCUGACUUUUGCUUGAUUAAAUAGAUAUACCCAUAUCUACUAUAAUCGUCGGUAAAAGUCACGUAGAAGCGGUUCCCAUCCUUCGUGGUUGAUCUAAACGGUCCACAUACAUCGGUAUGUAUUAGGUCCAAUAGACCCUCACCCCUUUCACACGUACUUGUGAAGGGUGACUUAGUCAUCUUUCCAAGUAAACAAGACUCGCACGUGUCAUCUUCCCUAAGGUCGAAUGACUCCAACACUCCAUCCUUUUGGAGUUGGGCUAUGCGUUUCUUGUUGACAUGUCCAAGACGACAAUGCCACAAGUAUGCUUUAUCCAUACUAGUGGAAGAAUCUAUGUUCAAAACAUCAUUUCCUAAGUUAUCAACAAUCAUAACAGUUUCAUAAAUUUCAUUACAUGGUAUAGCUUCAAAGUAAAAGACACCAUUUAGAUAAGCCAAAAUAGAACCAUUCUCAUUAUUAAAAGAAAAUCUAAAACCUUGUCUAUAUAAACCAUGAAAUGAAAUGAUGUUUCUAGCCAUUUCUGGCGAAUAGCAACAAUUGUUCAAAUCUAAACAUAAAUUAUUCCUAAGCACUAAAGAAUACACUCCAAUCUUGGUCACAGGCGACGAUCUUCUGUUCCCCAUGAUUAGAUUGAUCCUUCCUUGCUCCACAUCCCUACUUCUUCUUAGUCCCUGCACAUUAGAACAAAUGUGAUAACCACAACCGGUAUCAAGAACCCAAGAAAUAGCAUGAUUAGAAUCGUUAGAUUUGAUUGUAUAUAUACCUGCGAAAGAUGGCUUGAUCUUUCCUUCUUUGAUUGCUUGCAGGUAAUCCGGGCAGCUUCUCUUCCAAUGUCCUAUCUUGUGGCAGUGGUGGCACUCUGCCUCCUUCGGGUUAGAGCAGGGCUUAGCGGGAUCAACUUUGGUCCCACUAGAAGAGGCACCAUCUCGGGCUUUCACCUUGCGAUAGUUCUUCGAUGAAGCUUUCCUCUUCUUUCCCUUUCCUUGACCAAUAGCCAAGACAGGAGCAGCGGGCGGAUUGGGAGUAGGUGCAACAGACUUGUCCUUGAAGUUGCUCUCAGCGACCCUCAAGAGACCUUGGAGUUUGCUUAGGGUGACCUCUUCUUUGUUCAUGUGGUAGGUCAUCCUAAAUUGGUUGUACAUCGGAGGCAAAGAGUGAAGCACCAUGUCGAUCGCCAAGUCUUCACCGAAGUCAACAUUUAACUUGCGAAGGCGGUCGACAUACCUUUGCAUCUUUUGCAGGUGCACGGUAAGAGAUUCUCCAUGACCCAUCUUAGCGGAAAUCAUGUUAGUGAAAAUCUCAUAACGCUCUUGUCUCGCGUUUUGGUGGUAUCUCUCCAAUAAGUCUUGGUGCAUCUCGUACGGGUACAUGUCCUCGUAGGACUUUUGGAAUUCGGAGUUCAUGGUGGCGAUCAUGAUGCAAUGUACCUUCGUUGCAUCUCGCUCAUGAGUUUCAAAGGCGGUGAUUUCGGCGGGAGUAGCAAUUUCGGGGUUGAUUUUCUCGAGCUUCUCAUCGAGGACAUACUCCUUAUCCUCAUAGCGAGCAAUGGUGCGAAUGUAUCUUAUCCAUUCGCUAAAGUUCGUUCCAUCGAAGGUGACCUUUUGGCAAAGGCUCAUCAACGUGAAAGAACUAGCAGCAGCGUUGUUUGCGUUCGACAUCUACAAUUAGAAAAGGACAAAGAUAGAUUAGAAUAAGAAUCCCUAAUUAUCACCCAAUAAGAAAAUUUAGGGCUAGGAUCCAACAAUAACAUUUACAUACUAGAAAAGGGAUGCCGUAAUCUAACAUGCAAAUAAAUUGAAGGUAAGUGAAUGACGAUUCACUAAUUCUCCAUCACAAAACUUAAACUAUUAGUCCUAAGUGUUUUUGAGAAUUCCUAGGUUCGGAUGAGAUUCAUUGAAACUAUUCAAUGGCAUGUUUAAAUCUCGAUAUGCCCCUCUUGUUUGUGACUGGGAUGCCGAGGAUCACAAAGCGGGUGUGAAUUACCAUGCAAAUUCACAUGGUGCCUUCAUUGUAACGAUCACCUAUUCGAUGUGCCGGUAAACCACACACGCUCCAUCGAACUAUGAUAAACAAUGAAUCACCCUUUGCCACCUUCGCUUAGAACCAAUUAGUGUGCCGGUAAACCACACACGCUCCACUAACAUCUUAGCAAGGUGCAAAGUGUAAUUUCAUGGGAUUGCAUCAAUUCACUUUUCCUAAAGUAACUAGGAUUGGGAAAUUUUAAAAAAAUAUGUAGUUACUUUAUAUUUCUUAUUAUACUUUUAAUGAGAGGAUGAGGUUGCCCUAUCCUACCCGUUCGGCUAACGACCCUCCACCAAUCAAGCAAGCGGUGGGUGUGAGUGUACACCCAUUAAGCGCCAUUUUAUAGGCCGCAACCUUAUACCCACCUUAUAGAUCGGCUUCGUGAAUGAGGCCUACUAACGGUAAGACUAGCAUUUAGUUAUACAUAUAUAUAUUAUUCUAGUAAUAUCAUAUUAGUAUAGGGUUGUAUUUUAAAACUUUUAAAAUCUAGGGUUUGAAAUUUAAGUUGUCUAAAUUAAAACUUUUAAUCACAAAAGUAAAUUUCAAAACAUGAGGGUAGGUUUUAAACAUUUAAAACAUGGAGGAUCAAAUAACAAAUAAUUCCAAUUAACAAUUAAUAUCCUAAUUAUCUAUAUUUGAUUUAUUCAAGAUUUCUUUUAAAGAUAAUUACCAAAAUAAUCAAAAUAAUUAAUUAAUUAUCAUAUAAGGAAAUUAAAUAUUUAAUUAGUUGAUAAUUACCUUUAACUAGAUCAAGAUAAUAGUUAUAUUUAUCAGAAAAACGAAUUAAUAUUGAUCUAAUUAGUUUAUGGUAAGUUAAGAUAAGAUAAACACAAAGAAAUCCCGAAUCUGGCCAUUCCUGACGCCUGGACUCGCCGAGUGCACAAAUGGACUCGCCGAGUCAGGCCUACUCGCCGAGUCCACUUUGAGACUCGCCGAGUCCAUGACUCAGAAACCAAAAAUUCGAAUUUUGCAGGUUUGUUUCAGUUAAUCAAGCAACAAUUUACAGAAAACCAAGCUAGGCUCUGAUACCACUGAUGGGUUUUAGCCAUAAGAACUUUCCUAUGUGCGCAUGCAAAACCCUAAUGCUUGGAUCUAGGCUUUCUAAUAAACAUGCUUUGAAUCCAAGACUUCUAAUUACUAAUUAGGUUAAACAAGAACAUUAAAACAGAUCUAGAAUCAUACCUUUGAGUUCCUUGUUGAUCUUGAGGUCUUGGAGCUUCUAGAGUCACAAAUGUCACUCCUCUAAUGGCUUACAAACACCAAAGCAAGGAGGAUGAUUUGGGAGAGAGGAGAGGGGAGGAAUUUCGACCAGAGGUUCCUUACUUUAGGUCAAGUGUCGAAUUCCAUCAGCCAUGGGGUCUAUUUAUACUUGUAGACUCCUUAAGGAUUACAGAUAAGUCCCUAUCAGAUAAUCUUCUCUUAAGGCUAUCCAAAUCCAUUCCUAGAUAACUCUAAUGGACGAUUUUAGCUAUCCUAAUCCUCUUAGAAUUCGUCCAUAGUAUAUCCAAAUGGAUUUACAGUUUAAAGCUUAACUAUCAAACAAUUGACAGUUUAUACCCCUUUAUUUAAUUAAUCUCUUUAAGUCACCAAAUUAAUUCUAAUUAAUUCUAUGACUUAUAUUAAUCAAAUAACAAAUAUAUUAUUCAUUAUAUUAUUCCCAUAAUAUAUUAAUAAUAUUUACUCUCUCUUAAUAAAUCAUCCUAUCAAGUUGCUAUGGUGAAGGCAACCCAAAAGGACCAUGCACAACCGGAUAUAGUUACAGCCUUAGACACUAUUCCAACAGUAUCCCACUUGGAUAAGUCUAGUAACUAUACAAGUACAAUUCGGUUUGCAAUCGUAGCUCUCAAAGACGCUGUCAACUCUGAUCUAAUCAAUCUUGUCCUUUAGAUAAGGGAACGUACAGUCCUCUGUUAGAUAUCAUGCUGACAAUCCUAUGGAAUGGUUAGUCAAGCAUUUAGGUUUCUCGAUCUCUGAUUUAUUUGACAUAGAACUUAAUCGAACACAUCAAUUCAGUUCUGACCGGGCCCGGCACAUAAGUCAAAUCAAAUCAUCGAGCGGCCGAGAUAUCGCUUUUACCUUCUUAGAUAAAAGUUACAGAUAAACUUCGACUUAUAUGCAUUUACUUAUUCAUUAACCAACUAUACACAACAAUACGUUUUAUAACACCAAGUUACUGAUGCGUUUUCGUAUUAUCAAUGUACAAUCAAUUAACAAAUAAUAAACCAUAUAUCUAGGUUUUAAGACUAUAUGAUAUUAUCGUCUUGCGAUCACCUUUUAUAUCGUAUUCCAUAAGGUGAUUCCAGCAAGCGCGGGUUUAUUCCAAUGCUCAAAACUAGUUCAUAAGCACUCAUGAACGUUGCAGCAAUCCUUUGCUAUGUCUAACACCAUUUAGACAUUCUACACACCAAUUCAUGACAAUCUUCUUUCAUAUCUACUUCCAACAUAUGAACGAUUGUGGACCAUUUGAAUAAUUCGAUUAUUCCUAAUAAACUCAAUUAUUCUGGAAGUCAAAACAUGCAAAGUGAAACAAUAGCUAAACAAUUAACAUAAGAUAGUAACAUUACUCAUAAAUAAAACUCCUUUAUUUAAUCAUCAAAUGUCAAUUACAUUUAUCUAUUACACGUUUCUAAUACUAUCUAAUCUAUGCUAAUAUCAUCCUUCAGCCCAAUACUCCUAGCAUGCUGCAAGUGCUUAACCCUACUCAGUCCCUUCGUAAGCGGAUCUGCUGGGUUAUCUUCUGAUGAUAUCCUCUUCACUACGAGUUGUCCUUCUUCUACACGAUGUCUAAUGAAGUGAUACUUUCUGUCGAUAUGUCUUGAUCUACCAUGAUCCCUCGGUUCCUUGGUUAAGGCAACCGCACCUUCGUUAUCACAGAAAAUCUCCAUUGGCUCCUUUAUGGCAGGUACGACUCCAAGAUCACCGAUGAAGUUCUUUAGCCAUAUUGCCUCCUUCGACGCUUCGCUCGCUGCAAUGUACUCUGAUUCGCACGUUGAAUCAGCUACGGUUUCCUGCUUGGAACUCUUCCAUGUCACUGCUCCUCCAUUUAGGGUAAAGACCCAGCCCGACUGCGAACGGUAGUUGUCCCUGUCGGUCUGAAAACUGGCGUCACUAUACCCUCGCACCUUCAAGUCAUCACUCCCUCCGAGGACUAAGAACCAUUCCUUCGUCCUCCGAAGGUACUUAAGGAUAUUCUUCACCGCAAUCCAAUGUGCUUUGCCAGGAUUCCCUUGAUAUCUGCUAACCAUGCUCAAAGCGAAGGCUACAUCAGGGCGAGUACAAGUCAUAGCGUACAUGAUUGAGCCAACUGCGGAAGCGUAUGGUACUCGGCUCAUUUCUGCUAUCUCAGCUUCGGUACUCGGACUUUGAGUCUUACUCAAUUUGGCAUUACUUUGUAUCGGUAGUUCUCCCUUCUUUGAGUUUUCCAUACUAAAACGUUUUAGUACCUUCUCUAAGUAAGUAUUCUGACUAAGUCCAAUUAGUCUCUUACUUCUUUCUCUUACUAUCCUUAUUCCCAAAAUGUAAGAAGCCUCUCCGAGGUCCUUCAUAGCGAAACACUUCCCGAGCCAGGACUUUACCUCCUGCAGAGUCGGGAUGUCGUUUCCUAUGAGUAAUAUGUCAUCGACAUAUAGAACGAGGAAGCUUACUAUACUCCCACUGGCUUUGACAUAUACACAAGAUUCGUCUUCGCUUCGUACAAAUCCAAACUCUUUGACUUUCUCAUCGAAGCAAAGAUUCCAUCUGCGAGACGCUUGCUUAAGUCCAUAAAUGGACUUCUCAAGCUUACACACUCUAUUCGGAUGCUUCGGAUCCACAAACCCCUCUGGCUGAGCCAUGUAAACAUCCUCAGCCAACUUUCCGUUAAGGAAAGCGGUCUUGACAUCCAUUUGCCAAAUCUCAUAAUCAUGAAAUGCGGCAAUUGCUAGCAUCACUCUAAUAGAUUUAAUCUUCGCAACUGGUGAGAAGGUCUCAUCAUAGUCAACUCCGGGAGUUUGAGUAAAGCCCUUCGCAACCAAUCGCGCUUUAUAUGUGUGUACGUUUCCAUCCACGUCGGUCUUCUUCUUGAAGAUCCAUUUGCACCCAACGGUCUUACGUCCGGGCACAUAAUCAACCAAAUUCCAAACUUGGUUAUCAUACAUGGAUUGGAUCUCGCUAUCCAUUGCCUCUUUCCAUUUUGCAGACUCCGGGCCUGCCAUGGCUUCCUUAUAGCUAUUAGGUUCAUCAAGAUUUAUUAGUGUACCAUCACUAAUAUACGUGUCCCCUUCGGUAGUAAUAUGAAAACCAUAAAACUGGGGUUGAACUCUAACUCUAUCGGAACGUCUAAGAGGUAAGGAUUCGUCAAUCGGUUCAACCGGAGUUUCCUCCUCGGGUUGAGUGCCAGCGGUAGAGGUUCCUUCAUCUAUCGACUCUUGAAUCUCUUCAAGCUCGAUUUGCCUCCCACUGUCUCCUUGGCUUAUGAGUUCUCGCUCUCGGAAAACUCCUCUCCUCGCAACGAAGACAACAUUGUCCUUCGGUCUAUAGAAGAGAUAUCCAAAGGAUGUCUGCGGGUAGCCGAUGAAAAUACAUCGCUCACUUCGAGGUUCAAGCUUGUCGUGAGUAUCUCGUCUUACGAAAGCCUCGCAACCCCAAACCUUGAUAUGUGCCAACGAGGGAGCUUUCCCUGUCCACAUCUCGUGAGGUGUUUUGGCAACCUUCUUAGUAGGGACUCGGUUAAGGAUAUGGGCGGCAGUCUCUAAGGCAUACCCCCAAAAAGAGAUAGGUAGUGAAGCACGACUCAUCAUAGAGCGAACCAUAUCCAAUAAGGUUCGAUUACGCCUUUCUGCCACACCAUUCAACUGCGGUGUCCUAGGAGGCGUCAAUUGCGAAACUAUUCCACACUCCUUGAGAUAAUCGUGGAAUUCAAGACUUAGGUACUCUCCUCCUCGAUCGGAUCGAAGCAUCUUGAUUUUCCUGCCCAAUUGAUUCUCCACUUCAUUCUUGAACUCUUUGAACUUUUCAAAGGUGUCUGACUUUUGCUUGAUUAAGUAGAUAUACCCAUAUCUACUAUAGUCAUCGGUAAAAGUCACAUAGAAGCGGUUCCCAUCCUUCGUGGUUGAUCUAAACGGUCCACAUACAUCGGUAUGUAUUAGGUCCAAUAGACCCUCGCCCCUUUCACAUGUACUCGUGAAGGGUGACUUAGUCAUCUUUCCAAGCAAACAAGACUCGCAUGUGUCAUCUUCCCUAAGGUCGAAUGACUCCAACACUCCAUCCUUUUGGAGUUGGGCUAUGCGUUUCUUGUUGACAUGUCCAAGACGACAAUGCCACAAGGAUGCUUUAUCCAUACUAGUGGAAGAAUCAAUAUUCAAAACAUCAUUUCCUAAGUUAU